rnacentral:misc_RNA from 1 species
GAUGAAGAACGUAGCGAAAUGCGAUAAGUAAUGUGAAUUGCAGAAUUCAGUGAAUCAUCGAAUCUUUGAACGCACAUUGCGCCCGCCAGUAUCCUGGCGGGCAUGCCUGUUCGAGCGUCAUUUCAACCAUCAAGCCCCCGGCUUGUGUUGGGGACCUGCGGCUGCCGCAGGCCCUGAGAAGCAGUGGCGGGCUCGCUGUCACACCGAGCGUAGUAGCAUACAUCUCGCUCUGGGCGUGCUGCGGGUUCCGGCCGUUAAACCACCUUCAUAACCCAAGGUUGACCUCGGAUCAGGUAGGAAGACCCGCUGAACUUAAGCAUAUCAAUAAGCGGAGGA